rnacentral:lncRNA from 1 species
GGACAGUUUUAAGUUCACAUCAAAACUGGGCAGAAAGUACAGAGUUCCCACAUAUCUGCUGUCCCCAUACACACACAACCUCUGGUUCCAGAGAUAUCCAUUUGCUGAAAUUGAUGAGCCUACACUGACACGCUAAUAUCACCCAAAGUUCCUAGUUUACAUUAGGGCUCAUUCUUGGUGUUGGAUAUUCUAUGGGUUUUGACAAAUGUAUAAUGACAUGUGUCCACCAUUGUGGUAUCACGCAGAAUAGUUUCACUGCCCUAAAAAUC